GCUAAUUGGUAGCGGAUGAACGCGUCAUUUCCGGUUUCUCGUCAGGCGGCGUUGAGUGUGACUGAGAGAGGUGUGUAGAAGAUAAACCCUGUAUGACGACGUUUUGCUCUUUGAACUCUAAAUAGAACACAACAGAGUCUGCAGAAUGUUGGUCUGGAGGAUGUCAACAUCGAUUGCUGCAAAGUAAGCCCGUCCACCAAGAUCCAACUGGUGAGAAUGCUGGAACAAUACCAGGAUGUGUUCUCAAAACACCACCUAGAUUGUGGAGAAGCGAAGGGUUUUGUGCAUAAAAUCCGGCUUACCGAUGACCGUCCUUUCCGGCUUCCGUAUCGCAGAGUGCCUCCAGCCCACUACCAAAAGCUACGCCAAGUCCUCACUGAGAUGCAGGAGCAAGGAAUCAUUUGGAAGUCUGUGAGUCUAUUUGCCUCCCCACUCGUGAUGGUGUGGAAAGAGAAUGUUGACCUCAGGAUAUGCACAGACUUCAGGUGGCUGAACGCAAGGACCAUCAAAGAUGCUCAUCCCCUGCCUUAUCAGUUGGACUGUUUAGCAGCCCUUGGCGGAAACACUCUCUUCAGCACCAUGGACCUAACAUCAGGUUUUUAUAACCUGCCCAUGCAUGAGGAAGACAAGAGAUUCACUGCCUUCACAACACCACUGGGCCUGCACAAAUAUGACAGAAUGCCAUAGGGCUUUUGUAACAGUCCGGCAUCUUUCAUAAGGAUGAUGCUAAGUGUCUUUGGUGACCUAAACUUCAGUAGUUUGGUAUGCUAUCUCGAUGACCUCCUGGUGUUUUCCCCAUCCAAGCAAGAGGCCCUCAAUAGACUGGAGGUCGUUUUUCAGAGGUUGAGAGAGCACAACCUGAAGUUGAGCCAAAAAAAAUUCCAUCUGUUGCUGCGCUUUGUGAAAUUCCUCGGACACAUUAUUGAUGGUGACGGGGUAACGGUUGAUCCAGAGAAAGUAGAAGUUACUGUGAACAUGUCAAAGAGGGAUUUAGUGGAGGAUGACUGCUGCACACCUUCAGUUCGGAGGGUAAAGUCAUUUUUGGGGAUGGUGUUGUACAAUCAGCACUUCAUACCCACCUGUUCCUCCAUAGCAAAGCCUGUUUUUGCCCUUACAGCUGGUCAAAAACAGAGGGGGAAGGUGGGAAAGUUAAAUCAGAAACCCGGUGUCUUCAGAAGGCUCAAGCCCACAGACUGGACUGAUGACUGUGAUUCCGCUUUCCUCACCCUCAAGGAGAAGCUUCUGAACUGUGCAGUCCCGACUCACCCGGAUAUCUCCAGACCCCUUAUCCUAUCCAUCGACGGUUCUCUUGAUGGCCUCGGAGCAGUUUUUGUCCCAGAUACUGGAAGGUGAAACCAAAGCAUGUCCGAUUGCCUUUGCGAGUAAGACCCUCACUGGCUCACAAAAGAGGUAUCCGGCUCAUCGUCUGGAGUUCCUUGCGCUCAGGUGGAGUGUUUGUGAAAAAUUUAGUCAUUGGUUGAAGGGACACGCAUUCAUGGUGUGGACCGACAAUAACCCACUAACCUAUAUAAUGACAAAACCAAAACUGGACGCUUGUGAACAGCGGUGGGUGGCCAAGCUGUCCCGUACACAUUCAGUAUCAAAUAUAUCCUCGGGACGAAAAACACUGUGGCGGGUACCUUAAGUAGAGAUCCUUUUGUUAGGUCAGUGGGCCAAAGGUUGAUCAGUGAGCAAUAUGAGAAUCUUUUAGCAGAAGCUGAGGGAACAAAGGAGGAAGGAGUUCAGGAUGUUUUCCUGUGCAAGGUUCAGUGUCUUCGAGCAGAUUAUUCAGGCUGUGGGGACCACAGGUUCUCCAAGGGACAAGGUGGCUCAUGAUUCCUCCGAUGUCAGGUCUGUCUGUGAAGCUCUCCUUGAGUGGGAGAGAGCUGCAGAGGCAAGAGCAGUACAAUUUAUCAAGAAUCUUCCACAAGUGGCACACUCAGAACAAGGCACGCUCCCAGCCAUCUCUAUUGAGGAGCUUCGGCAUAGCCAGGAAUUGGAUCCAGGGAGGUCCUGUUGCUCGUGGAGCAGGGCAAGCUACCAUCCAGGCGAGAGAGAAGUAGGUUACCUCCUAGAGCACGGACACUAUGCAGGCAGUGGCAUCAACUGAAAUUUAAGGAUGGAAUCCUCUAUAGGAUCACCAAGGAACCGUCAACUAGACAGAAAAGGUAACAGUUCAUCCUACCCAAAGACUUAAAGGCCAGGGCCCUCUCUGGUGUGCAUGACCUUGCAGGGCAUCAAGGACAAGCCAGAACCCUAUACCUUUCCAGACAGUGUUUUUUCUGGCUACAAAUGGAAAGAGACAUCAAGGAAUAUGUGAAAGGCUGCCAGCGAUGUAUCUUAGCAAAAACCCCUGAACCAGCUGCCCGAGCUCCCCUGGAGAGCAUUCGAACCUCUGCACCCAUGGAGUUGGUGUGUAUAGAUUUUUGGAGCACUGAGGAUAACAAACAAAGAGCGGUGGAUGACUUGGUCAUAACGGACCAUUUCACAAAAUUGGUUCAUGCAUUCCCCAUUCCGCUGCAAAACAAGUCACGAGAAACUGUGGGACAAUGUGUUCUGCGUAUUUGGUUUUCCAGAGCGAACACAUCAGAUCAGGGAGCCAAUUUUGAGAGUAAACUCAUAGCAGAGCUCCUUAGCCUCACAGGGAUCACGAAGUCACACACAACUGCACACCAUCCGAUGGGAAAUGGGCAAACUGAGAGGUUUAAUAGAACGCUUGGCAAUAUGUUGCGCACCUUGCCAUUAGCAGCAAAAUAACACUGGGCACAACAGAUACAAACCUUGACUUUCGCUUAUAAUGCCACAGUUCAUGAAACGACUGGAUACGCCCUAUUCUUUUUAAUGUAUGGUCGAGUUCUCAGACUCCUGGUGGAUUUGGUCUUCAGUCAAGUCCUGAGAGACCCAGUCGUGAUUGACUACAAGACCUACGCUGAGAAAUUGAUGGCAAACCUCCACGAAGCCGCUUGCAUUGCUCAGCAACAUGCAAGGAAAGAGCAGCAGCAUCAAGCUGAUGGUUACAACAAUAGAGUGUGUGGCACUUGCUUGGAUGUCGGUGACUGAAUCCCGCUCGCAAACAAAGCAGAGAGAGGGAAGAGGAAGUUGGCGGACAAAUGGGAACCCACAAUCUAUACUGUCAUGUAUCGGAACCCUCAAACGCACAUUUAUAAAGUCGUGGAUGAGAGCGGAAGGACUAAGGUUGUGCAUCGGAACCUGAUGUUGGACGUGAGCUUCCUAUCAUUCCCAGAACAACCUAGUGGGGAGCUGGAUUCAGUUGCCGUGGAUGAGGUCAGCGAGCUCCAGCCUCUGUUCAUUGAUUGAACAUAUACAACAUAUACGUUGUAUAUGUUCUAUACAACAUUUUGCAUCGGAGCAUCCAGUUUGUAGGUGAGCAAAACUAUUGGAACACGUGUUUCUUGCUAGCCGGGUAUGCCCUACUAGAUCGAUUGUUUAAACAUUCAGAUGCCGUGGAUGAGGCCAGCGAGCUCCAGCCCCUGUCCAUUGAUACCCUGAGUGACCUGGCAGUAGAAACUUCUGAGGACCGGACCCGUUCGUGGAUAUGCGUGUCACCUGAUGUUGAUGAGUCCUUAGGAGAUGGUGCAGAAUCAGGAAUGGAGGAUGAUACACCACACCCCCCACCCAGUGGCUCUGAUAAGCCGACACCUGAAAGAUCCCAACUGGAUCCUGCCGAUGAUAACGAGAACAAAAAAGAGAGAGAGAGAGAAAGACUUGCCUGCAAGAGAUCUGUGUGCUCUCCGACCCACACGAGACUUGCGCUGACUUUGACACCUUAAUCAGUGUUCCUGAAUUAGAUGAGACUGGGCCCCAUAACAGCAUUUCACCCACGACAGUGACUGAUAGUCAGAAACCUACACAAGACCUAGGGACUGAGAUGAACAUAGUCAGAACACGUACAGGCGGGGUUGUUAAAGCAGUCAGUAGGCUGAUGGAGAAUGUGGUGCAAAAACCUUUCACAAGGAGUGGUGUAGGUGGGUUUAACAGAAGGGCACAGUCUUUACGUACCUUGUUUUAAACAGGGUUGAGGGACUGUAGACAUGAGUACUGUGUUAUGUUCUUAGUUAGUACAUUGUUUUGGAGUUGUAUGAGAGACUGUUCAUAUUGACAAGUAUAGGGUCCCAACAUCUUGUGUGGUGUAAAAGGCAUCACAUUAACUAGGAGAAGCGGUAGCCUGAUCAACCUCUGCUUUCUCUGAACUUCAUGAGUAGCUUAAAAUGCAGUGUGUGGAAUUAUAUCCCUGGGGUAAUGUUGGACCAAAUGAGUGUGAACAUGGUACCUUAUAUGAUUGCUUUAUCUAUCUCGCCUGACCUUCUGUAUGUUUAGGAUUUGGGUGAAAUUAAGGAGGGGUGAAUGUAACAGAUAUAGGAAAAAUAGGAUAUAAUAUUUAUUUUAUUUUCUCAUAUUGGGUUUGUUGAGAAGAUAAAUCCUGUGUGACGACGUUUUGCUCUCUUUGAACUCUGAAUAGACGUUGAGCUUGUCUGCGGGACGAAUAAACCUGAGUUCAACAAGAUACGCCGGUGUCCAGUGUCUAUUGUGCACCAGAACACAACGCAGUGUAGCCGGGCCAGGCAGAACGGACCGGUUACACUUGCACCUUGUGGAUAUAAUCUCAUAAGAAUGAACCUGACGGCAUUGACUGUACCGUGUUCUUCAGCUGUAAAUUAUUGUUUGUCUGUCUGUGCACUUGUAAUGUCUGAUUUCUAAUUAUUCUGCCUAGUAUGUUCGUUGUUCCAUGGCACCAGUCACACCAAGAAAAAAACCCAAUGUCGGUGUACUUUCACAUAGUGUAUUUCAUCAUCAAAUGCAAUACAAUGUGUCUUCGUAUUCGGAUUUAAAAAAAAAAAAA